AAAACUGAGUCCUUUUCUUCUCCUCUUCUCUUUUUUUCUUUCUCUCAUUUCAACAUU
rnacentral:sRNA from 1 species